GACGAACGCUGGCGGCGUGCUUAACACAUGCAAGUCGAGCGAUGAAGCUCCUUCGGGAGUGGAUUAGCGGCGGACGGGUGAGUAACACGUGGGCAACUUGCCUUAUAGAGAGGAAUAGCCAUCCGAAAGGAUGAUUAGUACCUCAUAAUAUUGUAGCUUCGCAUGGAGCAACAAUCAAAGGAGCAAUCCACUAUAAGAUGGGCCCGCGGCGCAUUAGCUAGUUGGUGAGGUAACGGCUCACCAAGGCGACGAUGCGUAGCCGACCUGAGAGGGUGAUCGGCCACAUUGGGACUGAGACACGGCCCAGACUCCUACGGGAGGCAGCAGUGGGGAAUAUUGCACAAUGGGGGAAACCCUGAUGCAGCAACGCCGCGUGAGUGAUGACGGCCUUCGGGUUGUAAAGCUCUGUCUUCAGGGACGAUAAUGACGGUACCUGAGGAGGAAGCCACGGCUAACUACGUGCCAGCCGCCGCCGUAACAC
rnacentral:rRNA from 1 species